rnacentral:lncRNA from 1 species
GGAGAGAAGCAGGCAAGGCUGCAGUUUCUGUGAUGCUUUUGGUAACGUAUAUGUAUAUGUGUAUAGUCUGGGCUAAAUGGUAGCACUGCACAUGUUUUAUCUCAUGAUGCAAAGUGGAGCCCUAUCCCAGCUCCUGUCACCACAAAGCCUGGGAGUGGGAGGCCUCUGCUGGGCUUCGUCACCUCCACACCAACCCUGCCCACAGAGACCUGGGGCCUGGGUGGAUCCAGGUUCUUUGGGGACUCACAGCAACUUUCUUCAGCAAAUGGCAGGGAUUGCCUACUUCUGAAAUAUACAUGAUGUUAGUCAUUAUUUGCCCCUCUAAGUUCUGAGCUAAUCCUAUAUUGAUGUUAACAGUGAUAGUGGCUUAUUGUCUCCAUUUCACAAGACUUCCUUUCAGAAGUGAUUGAAAGGCAUCCCAUUCUCAGGGCCAUAACUGUAGAUACCCAUUUUGAGAGCAACCUAUUCUUUGAACAGCUGUGACAGUUCUUAUCUUCCCCUCUGUGAUUUCUGCAUGCUGUAAGGAAAUACUUCCUCAUCCAGGAAGAGUGCCUAUCACUAUCUUAUCAGUAUGAAUUAAAAACUAGGCAAUCCUAGUUGAAGCUUCUGCAUCUCAUCUCAAAGCUUCUGCAUCCCAAACUUGACGUGAUGCAGGUAAAGCAGCAGCAGUCCUGAAACUUUUUCUGUAAAUAUCUAUCGUGUGGCCAGCUCAUGGGAGUUAAUGUGUUGAAAAUAAGUAUUUAGUGUGUUGUCAAAUCCAGAAGGUCUAAUCAAGCCCUUAGCAAGACAAAUGUUUUGCUCACAGCAGAAAAAAUGAGGAGGCAAUAAAUGCCUAAUGUCCUUGGCUAGGUAUUUUGGUUAGAGCAGUGUUUUGUUGCAGAUUGUAGAAAGUCUUCUAAAAAUGACUUGAACAAAUGAGGGACAGAUUCCAUCAAGAAGCUUGGAAGUAGAUAGCCUGGGUGAGCUUGGCUCAGCAAGGCUGUCUGAGACUUGGGCCCUUGAUUUCUGCUUCAUCUUCCUAGUAGAUGAUCUUUUGACAUCAUGCUUGUCACCUCAUGGUCAGAAAAUGGUUGCAUCCUCUGCAAGAUCCAAGCAGGAAGAAAGAAUCGGAGAUGAAGGAAGGGCCUUUAAAAAAGUUUCACUGGGGGCUAUGCGUGGUGGCUCAUGCUUGUAAUCCCAGCACUAUGGGAGGUCUAGAUGGGCAGAUCGCGAGGUCCAGAGUUCGAGACCAGCCUGGCCAACAUNNNNNNNNNNCAAUCUCCACCUCCUGGGUUCAAGCGAUUCUCCUGCUUCAGCCUCCUGAGUAGCUGGGACUGCAGGUGCCCACCACUAUGCCCAGCUAAUUUUUUGUAUUUUUAGUAGAGACAGGGUUUCACCGUGUUAGCCAGGAUGGUCUCGAUCUCCUGACCAGAAGAUCCACCCACCUCGGCCUCCCAAAGUGCUAGGAUUACAGGUGUAAGCCACAGCACCUGGCCUCAAGACCAAAAACUUAUACAUGAUACCCACUCUACUCUAGCUAAACCUCAUAGAAAAAAACUGGCUCCACCCACAUCUCACCAGUAAAGGCCAAUUGGAGAGCCUAGACUGCCACCCUUGCCGGGUUGUAAAGAUGUAUCCCCAGUUGUCCUCAUGCCCCACCCAACUUAUGCAGUGGUGAUGGAGAAGGCACAGUGGGGAGCACCCCAUCCCAGGCAGUGUCAGAGGAGACCACAUGGGGAGCUCGGACUUCUACUGGUACCAGCUAGGGAUAGAAAUUCAAGCUCCCCAUGGGGAGAACCCCUUCCCGUCCCCACUGAGGUAGUGUCAGAGGCAGCCUAGUGGAGUGAGGACUUUGACCACAGCUCUGCAAUAACAAGGCCACCCUCUGCAGUGUCAGUGGAGGCCACAUGGAAAGCAGUAACAAGGAGCCCUUCUACUUCCUAGCCAAGGUGGUACCAGCAGAGGCCUAGUGGACAGCCUGAACUUCUCUCCCCACCCAGAGGCACCAACAACCUCCCACUUGUCUCUCCUUUCACUGUCAAGGGUGCCUGAGUGGAAAACCUGGACUUCCACCCUGAUCUGGCAGCAAAAAGGUGGCAACCGUUUUCUCCCACUAGAGUGGUGUCAGAGGUUUGAGUCGUAUUGGCUAAAAUACCAGAUUUAAAUAAAACCCAGAGUUUAACAAUAUCAAAAUGUCCAGGUUUCAAUUACAGGCCACUUGUCAUACCAAAAACCAGGAAGAUCUCGAAGUGAACAAGAACAGACUCUGGCUGUGCGAAGUGGCCCAUGCCUAUAAUUCCAGCACUUUGGGAGGCCGAGGCGAGUGGAUCACUUGAGGCCAGGAAUUCAAGAAAAGCUUGGCCAACAUGGCGAAUCCCCGUCACUACCAAAAAAUGGAAAAAUUAGCAUGGUAGCGUGUACCUAUAAUCCCAGGUACUUGGGAGGCUGAGGCAUGAGAAGCCUUGAAUCCUGGAGUUCAAGACCAG